CCUCUGCACAAACAGCAGAGACAAGUUAGCAUUUAACUAGUGCGGAACUGGCUAAAGGCUCUCCAAGCGGCAAACCAGCAGGACCUGUUGGCUGGGAUGAAAGGGCUCCCAGAGCUGCCAUGGGUGUCAUCCUGCCGCCCACCUGUGCCUGGCCCAGGGUCUUACUAUGCAGUCCAGCCUGCCCUUGAACUCCCUCGGCCUCCCGAAUGCUGGGAUCACAGAUGUGUGCUACCACACCUCGGUCACUGUACAGUUUAGACUGGCCUCCAACUCCCUAUGGAGCCCAGGAUGGUUUUGAACUUGUGAUGAUCCUCCUGUCUCAGCCUACAGGUUUCUGCUGGACUCAGGCACUACCCUAGAUCUUCGCUGGGAGGCCAAAGGUGAGCAGGACACAGUACCCAGGCUGUGACAAUUUCCGAGCUUGCAUUGUGUCGAGACCAGACAAGCACACACGCGUCACCCAAAUAAUAUGACCGCAUGUAGUAAGAGGUUUAACGACUGCAGAGCCCUGGCCUCUGCUUCCUCACGGAGGAAAAGCUGUCAGCGGUGACCGAGCUCCAGAAGCGCAGGCCCGACCCUCCGUGCUGCGAGCUGGCGGCUUCCAUCAAAUAAAACCUGCGACAAAGUUAA